AACGAACGCUGGCGGCAUGCCUAACACAUGCGAGUCGAACGAGACCUUCGGGUCUAGUGGCGCACGGGUGCGUAACGCGUGGGAACCUGCCCUUAGGUUCGGAAUAACUCCCCGAAAGGGGUGCUAAUACCGGAUAAUGUCUUCGGACCAAAGAUUUAUCGCCUUUGGAUGGGCCCGCGUUGGAUUAGCUAGUUGGUAGGGUAAAAGCCUACCAAGGCGACGAUCCAUAGCUGGUCUGAGAGGAUGAUCAGCCACACUGGGACUGAGACACGGCCCAGACUCCUACGGGAGGUAGCAGUGGGGAAUAUUGGACAAUGGGCGAAAGCCUGAUCCAGCAAUGCCGCGUGAGUGAUGAAGGCCUUAGGGUUGUAAAGCUCUUUUACCCGGGAUGAUAAUGACAGUACCGGGAGAAUAAGCGCCGGCUAACUCCGUG
rnacentral:rRNA from 1 species